AUUGAACGCUGGCGGCAGGCCUAACACAUGCCAGUCGAGCGGAUGAAGGGAGCUUGCUCCUGGAUUCAGCGGCGGACGGGUGAGUAAUGCCUAGGAAUCUGCCUGGUAGUGGGGGAUAACGUCCGGAAACGGGCGCUAAUACCGCAUACGUCCUGAGGGAGAAAGUGGGGGAUCUUCGGACCUCACGCUAUCUGAUGAGCCUAGGUCGGAUUAGCUAGUUGGUGGGGUAAAGGCCUACCAAGGCGACGAUCCGUAACUGGUCUGAGAGGAUGAUCAGUCACACUGGAACUGAGACACGGUCCAGACUCCUACGGGAGGCAGCAGUGGGGAAUAUUGGACAAUGGGCGAAAGCCUGAUCCAGCCAUGCCGCGUGUGUGAAGAAGGUCUUCGGAUUGUAAAGCACUUUAAGUUGGGAGGAAGGGCAGUAAGUUAAUACCUUGCUGUUUUGACGUUACCAACAGAAUAAGCACCGGCUAACUUCGUG
rnacentral:rRNA from 1 species